rnacentral:rRNA from 1 species
AACGAACGCUGGCGGCAUGCCUAACACAUGCAAGUCGAACGACACCUUCGGGUCUAGUGGCGCACGCGUGCGUAACGCGCGGGAACCUGCCCUUAGGUUCGGCAUACCUCCCCGAAAGGGGUGCUAAUACCGGACAAUGUCUUCGCCCCAAAGUUUGAUCGCCCUUGUAUGGGCCCGCUUUGGAUUAGCUUGUUGGUAGGGUAAAAGCCUACCAACGCGACGUUCCAUAGCUGGUCUGAGAGCAUGAUCAGCCACACUGGAACUGGGACGCGGCCCAGACUCCUACGGGAGGCAGGAAUGGGUGAUAGAGGAAAGUGGGGGGAAUGAUGAACGAGCAAUGCCGGGUGAGUGAUGAGAGCAGUAGAGUUGUAAAGCGCUUUUAACCGGGAUCAUAAUGACGGUACCGGAAGAAUAAGCUCCGGCUAACUACGUG